rnacentral:rRNA from 1 species
CACGUAGGGCGCAAGCGUUGUCCGGAAUUAUUGGGCGUAAAGAGCUCGUAGGUGGUUUGCUGCGUCCGCUGUGAAAACCCAAGGCUUAACCUUGGGCUUGCAGUGGAUACGGGCAGACUAGAGGUAGGUAGGGGAGAAUGGAAUUCCUGGUGUAGCGGUGAAAUGCGCAGAUAUCAGGAGGAACACCGGUGGCGAAGGCGGUUCUCUGGGCCUGUACUGACGCUGAGGAGCGAAAGCGUGGGGAGCGAACAGG